UGGGUGUCCGCUAUUGUCCUGAGGCCUGA
rnacentral:piRNA from 1 species